rnacentral:rRNA from 1 species
AUGAAGGGGCGGUUGGGAGCUCUGAGAGGUUCUACGGCUACUUGUGCAGAGAGCCCUACUACACCCAAGAAUCCCAUUGUUGAAUUGAUAGACAACGAUGAUGAUGUUUUUGACAAGAUUGCUAACGUGGGAAGAGUCACGAGGAGCGCUACUGCCAAAGGUUUAUCUCCCCUUGCUGGAAUAGUGGCUCGUAGAGCUGGUGGUGCUAGGAAAGAUCCUGCUUUGGAUUCUGGCAAUGUUGUAAGCACGAAGCGUGCGCCCAGAACUCCUAUAAAGUUUUGCUCCAAUGUGCAGCAGCUUCACCCUCAUAAAUUCCCUCACCUGGACAAGGCUCGCAGGUUAUAUAAUCUGUUGCUUAGUGAUGAAUGGCGUGAGAAGUAUGCCGAGAAUACAUUCUUAAUGAUACCUCAUCCUGAUGAAAGCGUAACUAGCUUCACUGGGAAUCGCAUCUGGGAAGUUUUUUCACCUGGGCAAAUGAUGGAGGGUGGUGUUGUGCUUGACUGUACGUUUUACGGUGAUGAAAAUAAAGAGUUUAAUGUGGAGAGUGAAGCGAGAGAUUUCAAGAGCUAUGUUAAAGAUAAGGAAGACUUGCUCAGUGCUGACCUUAUCAUGAUGCCUCUAUUCAAGCCUAUGAUUUUAGGAAAGGAUAAGAAAGUGAACCACUAUUCCUUAUAUGUCAUGAAUCGGUACCGAAGUAGCGUUGACAUCCUUGACUCUUUACCUUAUCCAAAGAACCACCAUCCUUCAAAGAACACCUAUCAUAAAGACUGCGAGAAGAUUAUUUCUAGAUUGGUCAAAGUAAUGAAGGCAGUGUAUGGUGAUGCUCAGUAUAAUGCGAGCAAGCAGCCCAAUUGGGAGCUGUUUGCAAAGAAACCAACAUUUGUGAAGGUUCCACUUCAAGGGGAAAAUGAAUGUGGCCAUUAUACUCUGAAGUAUGCGGGAUCCUAUGAUGGUGAAAAGAUCGUUGAGAACAUUCGAGAUAAUGAUCCACGCAUUGUUGAUUGGAACGCUGAGGAUCUGUAUAGAGUUGUGUUCAAUUGGAAUAGCCAGCUUGUGGUGACAGAGCUUCCCAAGGAUGUUCAGGCUUUGGCUCCUGAUACAUAG